UAAUGAACUGUGCGCGUUCAAUGCUGGGC
rnacentral:sRNA from 1 species